CGCGCCGCCGCGAUAGGCGCGCCAUGGGCCUGAUGCCGGCCGCGCGGGCCUACUCCGGGAUGCAGCGCUUGCCCGCGGCCGCCUUGCCGCUUGCCCGCUUGUUGCGCGCCCGCCGCCCCAGGGAUCUUUGGGCAGCGCCUAGAGGAAACAGUCCACCACGAGCGGAAGUAUGGCCCCCGCCUGGCGCCCCUGCUGGUGGAGCAGUGUGUGGACUUCAUCCGGGAGCGCGGGCUCACUGAGGAGGGGCUGUUCCGCAUGCCAGGCCAGGCCAACCUGGUGAGGGACCUGCAGGAUUCCUUCGACUGUGGGGAGAAGCCACUGUUUGACAGCACAACAGACGUGCACACGGUGGCCUCCCUGCUGAAGCUGUACCUGCGGGAGCUCCCCGAGCCCGUGGUCCCCUUCGCCAGGUACGAGGACUUCCUCAGCUGCGCCCAGCUGCUCACCAAGGACGAGGGGGAGGGCAC
rnacentral:lncRNA from 10 species